AUUAUAUCUAUGAUUUUGGAUGAAAAUCCUUUAGUUGAGCUUACUGAUGAGGAUGGAACCAACUUAGUACGACUUCUUAGUGCAUCUGUCAAAAAGGUUGUUGGAGAGAGAAUAGCACUUGCAACUGAUACCCGCAAGCUGUAUUACAAUAAAGCUCAGAAAGAAAUAUUUGAACACAACAGAAGGGAUGUUACUGUUGCUAUGAUGAAGAACUACCCAUUGCUUUUACGCAAGUUCAUGGCUGACAAAUCAAAAAUACCAUCGCUAGUUGAAAUUAUUGUGCAUAUGAAUCUUGAGCUUUAUUCUCUGAAGAGGCAAGAACAGAAUUUUAAAAAUGUCCUCCAGCUCAUGAAAGAUGCAUUUUUCAAACAUGGUGAGAAGGAAGCAUUAAGAUCUUAUGUGAAGGCUAUUAACUUUUGUUCUACGGAGAGCCAAGGGGAGCUACAAGAUUUUGCUUGUUCUAAGUUGAUAUUGUCCAGAUGAGGCAAUUCUCCAAAAGUUUUGGAAACUUUGUGAGCAACAACUUAAUAUUUCAGAUGAGACAGAAGAUGAUGAUGUUAACAAGGAGUAUGUUGAGGACACAAACAGAUGAUGUGUUAUGGUCGCUACUGCAAAGUUGGUUGACAGUUAGUUAAGUGGUAGCUGAUUGAUCUGUUAUGGUUUACUAUGAAUAUGUAUGUUGUUGGACAGUACCCGAGGUUUCUAAGAGCUCACUGGAAGUUCCUAAAAACGGUUGUGAACAAAUUGUUUGAGUUCAUGCAUGAGACACAUCCUGGUGUUCAGAGCAACAUCAUGAGGAGGUUUUCCUUGGAAACCUGAGGAGAUUUCAAUUUAGAGAGCUUCAGAUGGCAACAAACAACUUCAGCAGCAAGUACUUGGUUGGAUGAUGAAUUGAAGGAUGGAGCAAGUUUCAUGCAUGAUUUACUUUUGUGUAUCUUGUAAUGUUUCUGUUUUUCAUUUUGAAAGUAAAAAAUGUUCAAGAUUAUAAAACUUUAUUAUGUUAUGCUUUCAAAUUUAAGUUGGAACUAAGAUCUCAUGAAGUAGACAUAUUUAUGGUUUGAAUUAGUUAUUGUUUAAUGUAA